rnacentral:rRNA from 1 species
GACGAACGCUGGCGGCGUGCUUAACACAUGCAAGUCGAACGGAAAGGCCCUGCUUUUGUGGGGUGCUCGAGUGGCGAACGGGUGAGUAACACGUGAGUAACCUGCCCUUGACUUUGGGAUAACUUCAGGAAACUGGGGCUAAUACCGGAUCGGAGCUCCUGCUGCAUGGUGGGGGUUGGAAAGUUUCGGCGGUUGGGGAUGGACUCGCGGCUUAUCAGCUUGUUGGUGGGGUAGUGGCUGACCAAGGCUUUGACGGGUAGCCGGCCUGAGAGGGUGACCGGGCACAAUGGGACUGAGAGACGGCGCAGUCGGCAACGGGAGGCAGCAGUGGGGAAUAUGGCACAACGGGCGGGAGCCUGAGGCAGCGACGCCGCGUGCGUGAUGCCGGCCUUCGGGGUGUGAACAGCUGUCGCCUGAGACGAAGCGUGUGUGACGGUAAUGGGUAAAGAAGCACCGGCUAACUACGUG